rnacentral:rRNA from 1 species
UGAGAGGGUGAUCGGACACACUGGAACUGAGACACGGUCCAGACUCCUACGGGAGGCAGCAGUAGGGAAUAUUGCUCAAUGGGGGCAACCCUGAACCAGCAACGCCGCGUGGAGGAUGAAGGUUUUAGGAUUGUAAACUCCUAUUGUGAGAGAAGAUAAUGACGGUAUCUCACGAAUAAGCACCGGCUAACUCCGUGCCAG